UACGGAGGGGGCUAGCGUUGUUCGGAAUUACUGGGCGUAAAGCGCACGUAGGCGGCUUUGUAAGUUAGAGGUGAAAGCCCGGGGCUCAACUCCGGAAUUGCCUUUAAGACUGCAUCGCUAGAAUUGUGGAGAGGUAAGUGGAAUUCCGAGUGUAGAGGUGAAAUUCGUAGAUAUUCGGAAGAACACCAGUGGCGAAGGCGACUUACUGGACACAUAUUGACGCUGAGGUGCGAAAGCGUGGGGAGCAAACAGGA
rnacentral:rRNA from 1 species